ensembl:lncRNA
UGAGAGUUGACAGAUACACGUUUCUAAGUAGGAGAGUUACUCCACAGUCAGGGACAGGAGGUGGCAGAAUUCAGAACCCCAGACCUGGGCUUAGAAAUAAUAAGUGAUAGACAAACAAGUCAGAGCAGGAACUGAGGCAUAAAAGGGUUGGUAUUAGGGAUUAGAACUUGUUUCUUCACUGCUCAUUGAUCCAGACAUCAGCACAGCCUCAGGAAGCCCUGGUUUAAGUGUCUGCUCUGUUAUUUACUAAGGAUAAAAUGGGCAUGGACGACAUCGAGCCACAGUCACUCAGCACUUGACGGCCUCCUUCAGCAUUCGAGACGCUGGGGACUCACCUCAGAGCUGUGAGCGAGCCUCCCAGCAUGCAACAUCCGCAGACAGAGCAAAUAUUGAGAUUCUGUAGAGCCUAUAUUGCAAAUAUUGGAAGUUAAAUAAUUCCAUAGCCAAUAAAAAAAAGACUGGCAACCUUUCUAAUGCAAAAAGGGAAUAUGCAAUGUCACUGAGCAUGGUAUUAAAAUUGUAAUGACAGAUCAAAAAAGGGCAAGAAGCACCAAUGAUAGGAAUAAAGGGGGACAAGAAUUUAGGUAAAAUUUGUACAAAUCCAGGAUUUGAAGCCUGAUGUAAUCCAAGCAAUUUCUUUAUCUACAUAGACCAUGUUAUUGACCUCUUUCAUGUUUUCCCAGCUGGCACUGGGGAUGUUUACCACGGUGCUGGGGGGACUCGUGCUCCUUUUUGGGAGCCAGCUCCUUUUCGGUUAGAAUGGCUGCCCUGCUGCAUGGAGGGCUCAUGUCUCAGGAGCUGCCAGGCACCAAAGCUUCAUCCCUGCCCUGGCCGGCCAAUACGUCUGGCAUAGAAGUGUCAGGAAGAGUACUGUCUCCAUCCAGAUAUCCUCUUAGGAGCAAAUGGCGGACAAAUUUUCAGAAAGCUGUGGGGAGGACAGAGUUCCCACGGACUUGGAAGGGGAAUAGAGGUCUGUGCCAUCCAGAAAAGAGCAGGUGGGGCGCACUGCCGAGGGUCGCGUCCGGGAGUCGGGACUGCAGCCAUGGGGAGCCCUGGCCACGUCAGGGCAACUUGGCUGUGGCCCGCCUCACUGUCCCUCCUUGUGACCAACUAUGACUCUUAGUGGAUCUUCGAUCUCUGGGCUUCUCCUGGUCUGCAGCCUCUCUCCUGCAUAAACAGUGCAGAACUGGAAUGUUAAUAUGAAAGUUUCUGGAUGGAGGGCGGCCCUCCAGGAAAGCCCGAGGCUUCUUUACUGCCAUUGAAGAAAUGCUUUGGAUGGUAGAGAUGUGAAGGAAGGCAGCGUGAAGACAAAACCUUCACACAAAGGAGCGCCAAGCAAAGCAAGAGAACUGGAGAGAAAUGGUGCCAGAGCCCCAACUGCUCUUCACUCAGAAUCCUCAGGACCUCAGAAUUUCCUGCUAUAUGAGGAAGAGGUUGACCACAGGUGGGAAACACACCUGCAACAUAUCCAUCACAGCUGACAGAAGAAUGGAAUAAUGUGAUGCCUGGAGCCUAUCAUGCCUGGAGACCAGCAUCCCUGGACCCCCUCCUCAUUGCCCAUUUUCUCUGUAUAAUUGCCUCAAGUUUCUGUAAACCUGGAAGUUGGAUUUUUGAGACGUUAGUCACCCAUCUUCUGAUUAGCCAGCUAAUCUAAUUAAACUUCCUUUCUCAUCUCUAACUUGUGAUUAAUUGGCUCAGAUCUCGGUGAGCAGAGUGAGCCCAUUGCUUAGUAUCAAAUUCUGGCGACCCAGAGAGGACCAUAGCCUCUGCCCGUGGCUGGUUGACUUGGAGGAGGCUCUUUUGGGAUUUUUCCCUGCAUCUGCCAGGUGGCUUUUUCCGCCUGGGGAAUUUCCCUGUGGCUUCCUCGCUUGCCGACUGCCUCUAACGCUUCAGUGAUUGGGAAAGGAAGAACCGGAUCAACUAGAUCGUAAACUGAAGAGCUUACAUCUGCAGGCCAGCUAGAAAUGCAAGUGCUGCCGGAACAUCAUCUUCAUGGUUCCAGAUGGCCCUGCUAGGUGUUCAAACACCACUGCUGGACCCACUGCCAUUGGAUCUUCAAGGAGCCGACCUGAUUUGCUGGAUUGCCCGUGGGAAGAACCGGACUUGGAACUCUUCACAGUUGGCAGCAGCUUCACGGAUCAAGCCUGGUGAUCAUGUUUUGCUAAAAAUUUGGAAAGACCAGGGACCCAAAAACCAGUUGUCACCCAAACAGACAGGCCCUUCUGAGAUUCUUCUCACCGCUCACUCAUCGGUAGAACUUACAGGAACAGGCUGGCCACAGGUGGGAAACACACCUACAAUGUAUCCGUCACAGCUGAGAGAAGAAUAGAACAAUGUGAUGCCUGGAGCCCGUCAUGCCUGGAGACCAGCAUCCCUGAACCCCUUCUCAUUGCCCAUUUUCCCUAUAUAACUGCCUUGAGAUUCUGUAAACCUGGAAGAUGGGUUUUUGAGACAUUAGUCACUCAUCUUCUGAUUAGCCAGCUAAUCUAAUUAAACUUCCUUUCUCAACAUCUAACUUGUGAUUAAUUGGCUCAGAUCUCAGCAAGCAGAGGGAACCCAUUGCUCCGUAUCACUAUUUCAAUU